CCCUGCCAUUUGUACACACCGCCCGUCGCUCCUACCGAUUCGAGUGAUCCGGUGAACCCUUUGGACCGAGGCAGCUUGCUGUUUUGGAAAAUCGAGUAAACCACGUCACUUAGAGGAAGGAGAAGUCG
rnacentral:rRNA from 1 species